GUGGUGGCCCUCAAUCCUUGACCACUGGAGAGAAAGAGAGAGAGAGAGAGAGAAGAGAAAAGAAGGGAAGAAAACAUUGAUCAGAUGCCUCUUUGUAUACGCCCUGACCAGGAAUCGAACCCAAAACCCAGGGGCAGAGGCUGAGGAGCAUAUGCAUCUUUAUCAUCACUGGCAGGAAACACAUCCAUCCUCCCUACGCUUGGUGGAGACGGCAUCCGGGUUCCCCAUCCCCUCCUGUUUCUCUGGAGGUGGCCUCCGGUACUGGAAGAGACACAGACGCGGAGACGCUGUCAAACCUACCCUGGAAAACUGGCUCAAUCUCGUGGCUCCACUUUGAGUUUCUCAAGAUGUCAUUUUCCCCGAUCUUGGUCCGUCUCAGCGUGUGGAAAGCCGGAGACAGUGGCCCAGGUCCUGGAGGAUUUGUCCCUGUUUCAAGCCCAGA